UACGGGGGGAGCAAGCGUUGUUCGGAUUUACUGGGCGUAAAGGGCGCGUAGGCGGUCGUGACAAGUCACUUGUGAAAUCUCCGGGCUUAACUCGGAACGGUCAAGUGAUACUGUCGGACUAGAGUACAGAAGGGGCAACUGGAAUUCUCGGUGUAGCGGUGAAAUGCGUAGAUAUCGAGAGGAACGCCUGCGGCGAAGGCGGGUUGCUGGACUGAUACUGACGCUGAGGCGCGAAAGCCAGGGGAGCGAACGGG
rnacentral:rRNA from 1 species